UCUUCGUUAUUUUUUCGAUAUCGAUCGGUCUGGGCGACAGGAUCGACGGAAAAUGACCGUCGUUAACGAUCUGUAGGAUUACAUUUGAUUGUUAGCGUUCGAUAGGGUGCGUCCGUUUUACAGGAACGAACGGAAAUUGCGAAUUCGCUGUUACGAGACUUACUUCUGGCGUGUCGGGUUUUCGAUCGAGGGAACGAAGGGGAGGUGACAGGACGAACCGGAAAUAGGAACUGGUCCCCAGGAUUUUUAUUUCUUUGCUCACGUAGACGAAUUGGUAAUCGAUGUUCGACGACGCCUGCAACGUUUUUUAACAUUAGUGAAAUCAAUCUCAUAAUCUACUUAGAUUUCACUUGACAAUAAUUAAUCAUUUUUUGAGAUUUUGCUGAUUAAUUUAAUUGACCUCUCGAUGAAAAGUGUGCAGGAACAUAACGCUACGAUUGUGUGAUAAUAAGUCUCUAGGUGCAAUAACGACGUAUUCGAAAGCGAGGUACUGUUGAAGAUUGGUCCAUCCUCGUGGGAAAAUUCCGAUCCAAUCGCGUGUCGAGUUUUUCAAAUUGAACUUCAUUGGUGUACUGACAAUGAAAUGUGCCACGUGCACAGCAAUACAUUUUUAUAAACGUUUGUGGCUGAAAAAUAAGGCUAAACGCUGAUCAAUGUGAAGGUAGCAGUUUUUAUUAUUUUAUUUGAGCAAUUUUGUUAUCGAGUUGUGGAAGUGACAAACGAACGAUGAAUAUUUGAAAAAAUUGCUGUAACAUUGAAAUCGCAUUUAUGAUAAAAUUUUUAAAUCGUCGCAAUUUUAAAAUGAGUAAGGUCCUUCGUAAUUAUUUGUAUUCGCAUCAAUUGCAAAGUACGAAGCAGCAGCUGCCAUCUAGCAGCGAAGUGUGGAUAAUCACGAACGUCCAAAUGCAUUGCAAGAAAUAAAGUAGUGUGGAUAAAUUAUUCUGCAGAUACACAUAUUUUUACACCAUGUUUUAUUCAAUCAUUUUUUUACAUCAAAAAUUUAUUCAUUCCAGAAAACAAUUGACAUCAUCGAGUAUGUCGUGACCUUCAUACAAAUGACCUGUAAAGUAAAAUUAACCCGCACAAAAUUGUAUAUUUUUCUACUCUUCUUCGUUUCUGUCACAAUACAAUAAGGUUUCAUUAACAAUCAAUGUUCCGCAAUUGUAGCAGAUGGAAGAACGAUGUUCCGCGGAUAAGAUAACGAAAACUGUUAUCGCGAUACUCGUUAAAUACACUUGGCUUCAAUGUAGACUUCCUUUAAUUACGGAUAAGAAGAGAGCUAGUUUAUUUGUUUUUAUUUCGGAACUGCUUAAUGUAUGUACAUUUUACUGCGUGUGAA